rnacentral:misc_RNA from 1 species
UACGUAGGUGGCGAACGUUGUCCGGAUUCACUGGGCGUAAAGCGCGCGCAGGCGGAUUGGUGAGUCUGAGGUGAAAGCUCCCGGCUUAACUGGGAGAAGCCCUCGGAUACUGCCAGUCUUGAGACACUUAGAGGAGAGUGGAAUUCCCGGUGUAGUGGUGGAAUGCGUAGAUAUCGGGAGGAACACCAGUGGCGAAGGCGGCUCUCUGGGAGUGUUCUGACGCUGAGGCGCGAAAGCGUGGGGAGCAAACUGG